rnacentral:lncRNA from 1 species
CUGCAAGCAGCGGUUACAGCAGUCAGCCCAACAGCUGAGACCGUGCACAGAUGCAUGCAAGGAGACUGUGGAAAGAGCAGGAUCUCCUUUCCUUUCCAGAAGGGCACUUAGGUGGAUGAAAGGAGAAUUGCAUACUCUCAGAUUUCAAUCCACUGGUGUUGAAGAAUAGAGAAGCCUACAGAUUCUGAUGAUGGAUUCCAAGUGUAAAGAGAAGCAGAAGCCAAUGGCACUGAAUCAACUGGAACUCCCAAUAGCAGAAUAUGAGAGUUGCCGUUUCUCUACAUCCUUGCCAACACCGACUAUUGGCAAUGGUGUAACUCUAGCCAUUAUGGUGGGUAACAAAUGAUGUGGAACACCCUUUCAUACGCUUAUUGGACAUUUGGAUGUCCUCUUUUGUGAAGCACCAGUUCAAAUCAUUUGACUGUUUAAAAACUGCAUUGUCUGUUUUUUCUUAUUGGUUUGUAGAAGUUCCAAAUAUAUUCUGGAUACAAGUUUUUUGGUGAUAUAUAUAUAUAUAUAUAUAGCAAAUAUUGUCUCCUAUUCUGUGACUUGCGUUUUCC